CGCGUGAGGGAAGACUGCCCUAUGGGUUGUAAACCUCUUUUAUAAGGGAAGAAUAAGUUCUACGUGUAGAAUGAUGCCUGUACCUUAUGAAUAAGCAUCGGCUAACUCCGUGCCAGCAGCCGCGGUAAUACGGAGGAUGCGAGCGUUAUCCGGAUUUAUUGGGUUUAAAGGGUGCGUAGGCGGUUUAUUAAGUUAGUGGUUAAAUAUUUGAGCUAAACUCAAUUGUGCCAUUAAUACUGGUAAACUGGAGUACAGACGAGGUAGGCGGAAUAAGUUAAGUAGCGGUGAAAUGCAUAGAUAUAACUUAGAACUCCGAUAGCGAAGGCAGCUUACCAGACUGUAACUGACGCUGAUGCACGAGAGCGUGGGUAGCGAACAGGAUUAGAUACCCUGGUAGUCCACGCCGUAAACGAUGCUCACUGGUUCUGUGCGAUAUAUUGUACGGGAUUAAGCGAAAGUAUUAAGUGAGCCACCUGGGGAGUACGUCGGCAACGAUGAAACUCAAAGGAAUUGACGGGGGCCCGCACAAGCGGAGGAACAUGUGGUUUAAUUCGAUGAUACGCGAGGAACCUUACCUGGGUUUAAAUGGGAAAUGUCGUAUUUGGAAACAGAUAUUCUCUUCGGAGCGUUUUUCAAGGUGCUGCAUGGUUGUCGUCAGCUCGUGCCGUGAGGUGUCGGGUUAAGUCCCAUAACGAGCGCAACCCUUACCGUUAGUUGCUAGCAUGUAAUGAUGAGCACUCUAACGGGACUGCCACCGUAAGGUGAGAGGAAGGCGGGGAUGACGUCAAAUCAGCACGGCCCUUACACCCAGGGCUACACACGUGUUACAAUGGCCGGUACAGAGGGCCGCUACCAGGUGACUGGAUGCCAAUCUCAAAAGCCGGUCGUAGUUCGGAUUGGAGUCUGUAACCCGACUCCAUGAAGUUGGAUUCGCUAGUAAUCGCGCAUCAGCCAUGGCGCGGUGAAUACGUUCCCGGGCCUUGUACACCCCGCCCGUCAAGCCAUGGAAGCCGGGGGUGCCUGAAGUCCGUAACCGCGAGGAUCGGCCUAGGGCAAAACUGGUAACUGGGUCUAAGUCGAAACAAGGUAGCCGUACCGGAAGGUGCGGCUG
rnacentral:rRNA from 1 species